AACGAACGCUGGUGGCAGGCUUAACACAUGCAAGUCGAACGCCCCGCAAGGGGAGUGGCAGACGGGUGAGUAACGCGUGGGAAUCUACCCAGUUCUACGGAACAACUGAGGGAAACUUCAGCUAAUACCGUAUACGCCCUACGGGGGAAAGAUUUAUCGGAAUUGGAUGAGCCCGCGUUGGAUUAGCCAGUUGGUGGGGUAAUGGCCUACCAAGGCGACGAUCCAUAGCUGAUCUGAGAGGAUGAUCAGCCACACUGGGACUGAGACACGGCCCAGACACCUACGGGAUGCAGCGGUGGGGAAUAUUGGACAAUGGGCGAAAACGUGAUCCAGGCGUGCCGCGUGAGUGAUUAAGGCCUUAGGGUUGUAAAGCUCUUUCAGUGGGGACGAUAAUGACGGUACCCACAGAAGAAGCCCCGGCUAACUUCGUGCCAGCCGCCACGGUAAUAC
rnacentral:rRNA from 1 species